UACGAAGGGUGCAAACGUUGCUCGGAAUCAUUGGGCGUAAAGCGCACGUAGGCGGCUUCGCAAGUCGGAUGUGAAAUCCCUCGGCUCAACCGAGGACGUGCAUACGAAACUGCGAAGCUUGAGUACUGAAGAGGAUCGCGGAAUUCCCGGUGUAGAGGUGAAAUUCGUAGAUAUCGGGAGGAACACCAGUGGCGAAGGCGGCGAUCUGGGCAGAUACUGACGCUGAGGUGCGAAAGCGUGGGGAGCAAACAGGG
rnacentral:rRNA from 1 species